UCCGCCCGGCCCGCGUCCUCCCCGGUGCCCGGCCCCGCUGCCGGCCCUUACCUUGCAGCGGCCGGCUCUCCCCCGCCGCUAACGCUACUUAUCCCGGGAAAGCUCGAGCGGGCCCCGGGAGCGAACCCACAGACAAAAAGUGAAACUUCAGCAGCAGGCCGGGAGUGGCUGCUGGUUGGUGCUCUCCCCCUCCUUCCUCCCCACCCCCUCCCCGCGGUCUCCCGUGCGGUGCCCUGAGCGCUGGAGGCUGACGUCAGGGGCCUGAAUUCCUGACUUUGCCUGCACGCAUUUGUCCAUGUAAGACGACAGAUUGGAAAGCUGAGCUUGAGCAAAGAGAUCCUGCCAUGGAACACCCCACCCCCCACCCUAAGAGCCUCGUCGGAGCCCCGCCCAGGACUCCAGCAGGACUCAGAAGUCCGGGAUGGUAGAGAGCAACUUCAGUUCCCUUCGCACAGGAGAGCUCCGAAGCUGGGACCUGACCCAGUCCUGCCCCGUGGAGAGGAGCCAGUAUUCUACUCUUAGCUGGGUUUCCGCCUCCAGGCACGACCCGGCCUCUAACUGUGAGCUUAGACCCAAGUUAGAGCUAGGCAGAUGACUUGACCCACUGAAGUGACUAACCCCAGUUCCUGGAAGGUUGUGGUUGACAAGCCUUGAGAAACAAUGGCAAUCGAGUGCUUCAGGGCAACUUCCUGUCCUUUGUUCAAAGACAAGAACCUUUGGAGUUUAACUUUUGCUUCCCAACCCUGCCCUGCCGGAAAACCAACCAGAAAGCUUGCUCUGUUCUUACAGCUUAAAAAAAGAAAAUACACGAACUGGGUGAACUGGUUUGAAUAAAGACAAGCCUGUUCUUGGAAAAAAAAAAAAAAAAAAAAAAAA
rnacentral:lncRNA from 1 species